UCGCCUGUGUCGUGUAGCUGGAAAGCACCAACAAUUAGCUUUUUCGUUAAAACAGUUGAAAGUCUCAUCACCGUGUUCAGUCAGUUCAGUGUGAUCUCAGUUAUGAGUCAGUCUCGUUGAGAGCGCGAACGUGUUUGGAUGUGAGUUGACUGACAAGAGUCGUCUUAAGAAAAGGUUGCUGAUGCAUCAAUAUCGCCUUGAUAUUAUUUCGACCACUUUAAUUGAGGGCAUACUUGGAUAAUAACAACAGAUCAGAAAGCGAUUGAAAGUCAUCGUGAAAACAAGAAGUAUUCGUUAAAUAAUCGGAUAUAUUUGGAGCCUCGUAAGCAGCCUUGUGCAAUUAAAAAAAAGUAAAAGAUUAUUUAACCAGAGUAAUUUAAGGCUGGAUUUGAUUACGCUUUAGAUUUUUGUAUAUUUCGAAUAGAAAGACGGAGUAUUUCGUAAAUUUGUCACUUGUACUACUUACAAAAUGAGCGCUAAAGUAAUAAAAAAAGGAACAACAAUUUUAACCGAUGAACCAUUCGCAUUUGUUCUUAACUCGAUACAUAGAACUACUCGAUGUGACAAUUGUUUCACGAG
rnacentral:lncRNA from 13 species